GAUGAACGCUGGCGGCGUGCCUAAUACAUGCAAGUCGAGCGAACAGACGAGAAGCUUGCUUCUCUGAUGUUAGCGGCGGACGGGUGAGUAACACGUGGAUAACCUACCUAUAAGACUGGGAUAACUUCGGGAAACCGGAGCUAAUACCGGAUGAUAUUUUGAACCGCAUGGUUCAAAAGUGAAAGACGGUCUUGCUGUCACUUAUAGAUGGAUCCGCGCUGCAUUAGCUAGUUGGUAAGGUAACGGCUUACCAAGGCAACGAUGCAUAGCCGACCUGAGAGGGUGAUCGGCCACACUGGAACUGAGACACGGUCCAGACUCCUACGGGAGGCAGCAGUAGGGAAUCUUCCGCAAAGGGCGAAAGCCUGACGGAGCAACGCCGCGUGAGUGAUGAAGGUCUUCGGAUCGUAAAACUCUGUUAUUAGGGAAGAACAUAUGUGUAAGUAACUAUGCACGUCUUGACGGUACCUAAUCAGAAAGCCACGGCUAACUACGUG
rnacentral:rRNA from 1 species